rnacentral:rRNA from 1 species
AUACGGAGGAUGCGAGCGUUAUCCGGAUUUAUUGGGUUUAAAGGGUGCGUAGGCUGUUUGGUAAGUCAGGGGUGAAAUGCCGUCGCUCAACGACGGAGCUGCCCUUGAUACUGCCGAGCUGGAGUACGGAUGCCGUUGGAGGAAUGAGUGGUGUAGCGGUGAAAUGCAUAGAUAUCACUCAGAACACCGAUUGCGAAGGCAUCUGACGAAUCCGUCACUGACGCUGAGGCACGAAAGCGUGGGGAUAGAACAGGAUUAGAUCCCCUGGUAUCCCACGCCGUAAACGAUGAUGACUAACCGCCUGCGAUAUAGUGUAGGUGGCCAAGCGAAAGCGAUAAGUCAUCCACCUGGGGAGUACGACCGCAAGGUUGAAACUCAAAUGAAUUGACGGGG